CAGUCGCCGCGGUAAUACGUAGGUGGCAAGCGUUGUCCGGAAUUAUUGGGCGUAAAGGGCUCGCAGGCGGUUUCUUAAGUCCGAUGUGAAAGCCCCCGGCUCAACCGGGGAGGGUCAUUGGAAACUGGGAAACCUGAGUGCAGAAGAGGAGAGUGGAAUUCCACGUGUAGCGGUGAAAUGCGUAGAGAUGUGGAGGAACACCAGUGGCGAAGGCGACUCUCUGGUCUGUAACUGACGCUGAGGAGCGAAAGCGUGGGGAGCGAACAGGAUUAGAGACCCCAGUAGUCCCUGUCUCUUAUAC
rnacentral:rRNA from 1 species